ACCGAGCAGCCAAAGCCAGGAGCAGCCAUCAGUGAACCGCACCUCGUCACCCACGGGAGGCGGCCCUGCCUCUGCAGAUGAUGUCAUCGUCAGACAUCAAUUGAAGGGGGACAGGAAGCCCAGAGCAGAGCCCAAGCUUGCCACCGCCCCGCGAGGCCACCCACAGCUACACAUGCAGCUCCAGAAGUUCACCGUGUCUGCUGACAAGACUUUGUCCUGGCUAAAAGACAAUGUGUCCAUGGCCACGCAGGUGUGUUCAAUAGCCAACUUUGAGGGGCUGGAGGCAGCCAGGAGGUGUCAACACGCUCUGCAACAAGAAAUCCUCACCAACAGGGCCAGGAUA